GAUGAACGCUGACAGAAUGCUUAACACAUGCAAGUCUACUUGAACUUCGGUUUGGGUGGCGGACGGGUGAGUAACGCGUAAAGAACUUGCCUCACAGAUAGGGACAACAUUUGGAAACGAAUGCUAAUACCUGAUAUUAUGAUUUUAGGGCAUCCUAGAAUUAUGAAAGCUAUAUGCACUGUGAGAGAGCUUUGCGUCCCAUUAGCUAGUUGGAGAGGUAACGGCUCACCAAGGCGAUGAUGGGUAGCCGGCCUGAGAGGGUGAUCGGCCACAAGGGGACUGAGACACGGCCCUUACUCCUACGGGAGGCAGCAGUGGGGAAUAUUGGACAAUGGACCAAGAGUCUGAUCCAGCAAUUCUGUGUGCACGAUGAAGUUUUUCGGAAUGUAAAGUGCUUUCAGUUGGGAAGAAAAAAAUGACGGUACCAACAGAAGAAGUGACGGCUAAAUACGUGCCAGCAGCCGCGGUAAUACGUAUGUCACAAGCGUUAUCCGGAUUUAUUGGGCGUAAAGCGCGUCUAGGUGGUUAUGUAAGUCUGAUGUGAAAAUGCAGGGCUCAACUCUGUAUUGCGUUGGAAACUGUGUAACUAGAGUACUGGAGAGGUAAGCGGAACUACAAGUGUAGAGGUGAAAUUCGUAGAUAUUCGUAGGAAUGCCGAUGGGGAAGCCAGCUUACUGGACAGAUACUGACGCUGAAGCGCGAAAGCGUGGGUAGCAAACAGG
rnacentral:rRNA from 1 species